rnacentral:misc_RNA from 1 species
GAUGAAGAACGCAGCGAAAUGCGAUAAGUAAUGUGAAUUGCAGAAUUCAGUGAAUCAUCGAAUCUUUGAACGCACAUUGCGCCCCCUGGUAUUCCGGGGGGCAUGCCUGUCCGAGCGUCAUUGCUGCCCUCAAGCACGGCUUGUGUGUUGGGCCUCCGUCCUCCUCCCGGGGGACGGGCCCGAAAGGCAGCGGCGGCACCGCGUCCGGUCCUCGAGCGUAUGGGGCUUCGUCACCCGCUCUUGUAGGCCCGGCCGGCGCUUGCCGACACAUCAAUCUUUUUUCCAGGUUGACCUCGGAUCAGGUAGGGAUACCCGCUGAACUUAAGCAUAUCAAUAGCGGAGGA